CUAAUCAUUCUGCUGGCCCUGACCCCUCUGCUGACCCUGAGCCUAUGCAAGGGGACAUGAUUGAAGUAUUUCGAGCCGGGUACCAGCACUGGUGUCUCUACCUGGGAGAUGGACUUGUCAUCAAUUUAACACCUGUUGAUGGCCUCUAAUCAUUCUGCUGGCCCUGACCCCUCUGCUGACCCUGAGCCUAUGCAAGGGGACAUGAUUGAAGUAUUUCGAGCCGGGUACCAGCACUGGUGUCUCUACCUGGGAGAUGGACUUGUCAUCAAUUUAACACCUGUUGGUCAGUAGAGAGUGACAAAUCCCAGUGGUUCCUAUAGGUUGCUGACCCCUGUUCUAGUUGUUUUAUUUACCAAAACAGUCUUUUUGUGACACAAAAAGAUAAUUUGUGAAAAUAAUUGUCUUUUUUGCUCUGUGUAUUAGAUGGCCUCUAAUCAUUCUGCUGGCCCUGACCCCUCUGCUGACCCUGAGCCUAUGCAAGGGGACAUGAUUGAAGUAUUUCGAGCCGGGUACCAGCACUGGUGUCUCUACCUGGGAGAUGGACUUGUCAUCAAUUUAACACCUGUUGGUCAGUAGAGAGUGACAAAUCCCAGUGGUUCCUAUAGGUUGCUGACCCCUGUUCUAGUUGUUUUAUUUACCAAAACAGUCUUUUUGUGACACAAAAAGAUAAUUUGUGAAAAUAAUUGUCUUUUUUGCUCUGUGUAUUAGAUGGCCUCUAAUCAUUCUGCUGGCCCUGACCCCUCUGCUGACCCUGAGCCUAUGCAAGGGGACAUGAUUGAAGUAUUUCGAGCCGGGUACCAGCACUGGUGUCUCUACCUGGGAGAUGGACUUGUCAUCAAUUUAACACCUGUUGGUCAGUAGAGAGUGACAAAUCCCAGUGGUUCCUAUAGGUUGCUGACCCCUGUUCUAGUUGUUUUAUUUACCAAAACAGUCUUUUUGUGACACAAAAAGAUAAUUUGUGAAAAUAAUUGUCUUUUUUGCUCUGUGUAUUAGAUGGCCUCUAAUCAUUCUGCUGGCCCUGACCCCUCUGCUGACCCUGAGCCUAUGCAAGGGGACAUGAUUGAAGUAUUUCGAGCCGGGUACCAGCACUGGUGUCUCUACCUGGGAGAUGGACUUGUCAUCAAUUUAACACCUGUUGAUGGCCUCUAAUCAUUCUGCUGGCCCUGACCCCUCUGCUGACCCUGAGCCUAUGCAAGGGGACAUGAUUGAAGUAUUUCGAGCCGGGUACCAGCACUGGUGUCUCUACCUGGGAGAUGGACUUGUCAUCAAUUUAACACCUGUUGGUCAGUAGAGAGUGACAAAUCCCAGUGGUUCCUAUAGGUUGCUGACCCCUGUUCUAGUUGUUUUAUUUACCAAAACAGUCUUUUUGUGACACAAAAAGAUAAUUUGUGAAAAUAAUUGUCUUUUUUGCUCUGUGUAUUAGAUGGCCUCUAAUCAUUCUGCUGGCCCUGACCCCUCUGCUGACCCUGACCCCUCUGCUGACCCUGAGCCUAUGCAAGGGGACAUGAUUGAAGUAUUUCGAGCCGGGUACCAGCACUGGUGUCUCUACCUGGGAGAUGGACUUGUCAUCAAUUUAACACCUGUUGGUCAGUAGAGAGUGACAAAUCCCAGUGGUUC